rnacentral:lncRNA from 1 species
CACAUUCGGGAAGCGUCGGGAUUAGGUGAAAGUCGCCGGGCGUCCACGUGCAGCCCUGGACCCUGAACCCCGGCGUGCGUGGGCCGUGGGCCCUCGGGGAAAGGUUCCGUGCACUCGGGGACUCCGGUGAAGCCUGUUCAGCCGUCUGUGUCAUGUGGCCAUCUUGAGUCUACUCUGUCGCUCUUGUGCCCUAGCACCCCGAGAACCGUCAGUUUGAGCCAGAUGGAAGCUGAGCUGAACACAUUACGAUGGAUGAUGGAAACAUAAGACUAUCAAGAAAUCCAAGUGGUAAUGGGCGAAGUUUAUUCAGCAUCCGGCAAUGGACUUAUCGUAGUUGGGGAAACGGGUGUUCCGAAUAAUAUCCUGGAAGUUAUCAGGACACCUAUUUUAAAUAUAGGCCUGAAUUUUGUAAAGUAAUAUUUAAGGUGGUCCGUGAUAAUUAAAUAAAAUGCUUAAUUCAUGUGGCUAAAAAAAAAAAAAAAAAAAAAAAAAAAAAAAAAAA